UACGUAGGGUGCGAGCGUUGUUCGGAAUUACUGGGCGUAAAGGGCGCGUAGGCGGGUUUGCAAGUCGAUUGUGAAAUCCCAGGGCUUAACCCUGGAGCUGCAGUCGAAACUGCAAGUCUUGAAUGUCUGAGAGGGUGGGAGAAUUCCUGGUGUAGUAGUGAAAUACGUAGAUAUCAGGAGGAAAACCGGCGGCGAAGGCGCCUACCUGGCAGUACAUUAACGCGGAGGCGCGAAGGCGUGGGAGCAAACAGG
rnacentral:rRNA from 1 species